UGCAUGAAGGCCUAAAUGCUGGUCUUAGUGUUGCUGCUACAGUUUGCGACAUGGAUGGUGUGAAUAGGCGAGCACUGGCUAUACUGGGUGCUACAGCAGAAAACCCGUCUAUAAAAAUAGACAAUGUGGAAGUAGCCACAAUUUUCGAUCCUCCACAUUUAAUAAAAUGUUUCCGAAACAUGUUUCUAAAAUAUGACAUCGAGUGUGUAACAGAUAUAAAUUCUGAAAAUAAAGCUGGAGUUGGUCUUGCAAAAUGGAGCCACAUAAAAGAAUUUUAUGACAUGGAUAGCAGCAAUCAGUUUUUUGUUUAUGCACCCGCUUUAAGAAUAGAACAUUUAGACCCCAAUACAAAGCAGAAGAUGAGAGUAAAGUUGGCUACUCAAGUUUUGAGUCACACAGUUGCAUCAGGAAUGAUGGCAAAAAUAGCAGAAGGUUCACUGUCUACUGAAGCCAUCGCUACAGUCAACGUGAUAGAGAAUAUGGACAAAAUAUUUGACACUCUCAACAGUGACUCCACAGAUUUGAGGCGAGGAAAAAUAUUUUCCACAAAUUUAAGGAAGAGCACACCACAUUUGGAUUUCAUGAAAAAAAUGAAAAGUUUUUUUAAAAAUUUAAAAUUUGUGGGUUCCAGCCGUGCACCACCUUCCAAAGAAGGAUGGGUAUGGACCUUAAAUGCAGUAGAACAGGUGUGGAAAAACCUUAUUAAAAACAUAAAGAUGUCCAGAGUCUGUCCACACGCAGGUUGCAACAAGACCCAUUGGAAAACCUGUUCGGCUGCAUUCGAGGAAAUUGUGGCGCUAAUCCAACUGCUGGUCAAUUUGUUGCAGCUUUAAAAACAGCAAUAUUAACUAAUUUAACUCAUCAAGGCACUGGAAAUUGUGAGAAUGAUAACUGCAAUGCAAUUAUCAAUAAUUAUAAAAUGGUUUUAAGUAAUCCGGUCACAAAUAUAUGCACAGAAAGAAAAAACUUCUCCGUAGAAGAAGAAGAGGAACUACACUUCUCUGAAGAAGUUUUAACUGGGGAAAUAAAUGCUUGUGCAUAUGUUUGUGGCUUUUUGUAUAAAAAGAUCGAAAGUCACUGUAAAUUAUUAAUGGGACAAUAUUAUUUGAUCCUCU